GUCCUUGGCACGCACCAGUUCCAGCACCUCCUCCAUUGAAGAAACUAACAGUGAACAGAGGGUUUUGCGCUUGGAUCUGGUGCGACAGGGCUCAGAUCUGACAACAACGGACUGAGAUUGUGAAGAAUUAGAGCAGAGAGAAGCGAAAUGCUAGUGGCUUAAUCAGGAUUAGGAAAUAAUUUGGAUUAAGAGCGAAGUGAAGUGAGAACGAGAGAGAUUUAGCGGAGAAGUGCCGUUAAAUCUAAAUUUAGAGGAGAAAAGCCAGUGUUUAGAGAGAGAG
rnacentral:misc_RNA from 1 species